CCCUUCGGGGGUGCUCGAGUGGCGAUCGGGUGAGUAACACGGGGGCAAUCUGCCCUGCACUUCGGUAUCAGCCAGCGAAACUGGGUCUAAUACCGGAUAGGACCUUUAGGCGCAUGUUUUUAGGUGGAAAGCUUUUGCGGUGUGGGAUGGGCCCGCGGCCUAUCAGCUUGUUGGUGGGGUGAUGGCCUACCAAGGCGACGACGGGUAGCCGGCCUGAGAGGGUGUCCGGCCACACUGGGACUGAGAUACGGCCCAGACUCCUAGGGGAGGCAGCAGUGGGGAAUAUUGCACAAUGGGCGCAAGCCUGAUGCAGCGACGCCGCGUGGGGGAUGACGGCCUUCGGGUUGUAAACCUCUUUCACCAUCGACGAAGGUUCGGGUUUUCUCGGAUUGACGGUAGGUGGAGAAGAAGCACCGGCCAACUACGUGCCAGCAGCCGCGGUAAUACGUAGGGUGCGAGCGUUGUCCGGAAUUACUGGGCGUAAAGAGCUCGUAGGUGGUUUGUCGCGUUGUUCGUGAAAUCUCACGGCUUAACUGUGAGCGUGCGGGCGAUACGGGCAGACUAGAGUACUGCAGGGGAGACUGGAAUUCCUGGUGUAGCGGUGGAAUGCGCAGAUAUCAGGAGGAACACCGGUGGCGAAGGCGGGUCUCUGGGCAGUAACUGACGCUGAGGAGCGAAAGCGUGGGGAGCGAACAGGAUUAGAUACCCUGGUAGUCCACGCCUAAACGGUGGGUACUAGGUGUGGGUUUCCUUCCUUGGGAUCCGUGCCGUAGCUAACGCAUUAAGUACCCCGCCUGGGGAGUACGGCCGCAAGGCUAAAACUCAAAGGAAUUGACGGGGGCCCGCACAAGCGGCGGAGCAUGUGGAUUAAUUCGAUGCAACGCGAAGAACCUUACCUGGGUUUGACAUGCACAGGACGCGUCUAGAGAUAGGCGUUCCCUUGUGGCCUGUGUGCAGGUGGUGCAUGGCUGUCGUCAGCUCGUGUCGUGAGAUGUUGGGUUAAGUCCCGCAACGAGCGCAACCCUUGUCUCAUGUUGCCAGCGGGUAAUGCCGGGGACUCGUGAGAGACUGCCGGGGUCAACUCGGAGGAAGGUGGGGAUGACGUCAAGUCAUCAUGCCCCUUAUGUCCAGGGCUUCACACAUGCUACAAUGGCCGGUACAAAGGGCUGCGAUGCCGCAAGGUUAACCGAAUCCUUUUAAAGCCGGUCUCAGUCCGCAUUGGGGUCUGCAACUCGACCCCAUGAAGUCGGAGUCGCUAGUAAUCGCAGAUCAGCAACGCUGCGGUGAAUACGUUCCCGGGCCUUGUACACCCCGCCCGUCACGUAAUGGAAGUCAGUAACACCCGAAGCCAGUGGCCAA
rnacentral:rRNA from 1 species